UUUUAACCGUUGCGUCUGUUGUUGAUUGUUUCUUUGAAAGAGACGUACAACUUCUAACGGUGGACCCCUCGGCUCGUGCAUCGAUGAAGAACGCAGCAAACUGCGAUACCUAGUGUGAAUUGCAGAAUUCAGUGAAUCAUCGAGUCUUUGAACGCAAAUGGCGCUCUCGGUUUUGCCGGGGGCACGUCUGUCUGAGCGUUCGUUUAAACUGUGCACGUGCGUAGCUUCGGCCUCACGUGUGCUUUGGGGCGUCGUUCCGGUGUGGGGCGUCCCCUUUAGUGAAACGCAACCCCUCCCGUGGCCCUGUGCCGGGGAUGGAUGCACCUGAUGUGUGCAUGCAUCUCCUCGUCCUGGGCCGAGAGUGGGUGUGUCUG
rnacentral:rRNA from 1 species